UUCACCAUUUAUCCGAGUUUUGAUGUUUUUACUUUUUCCCAUUUCGUUUCCCUUUUCGUGGAUGUUAGACAAAAUGUUAGGACGUGAAUUGGGUACCGUGUACACAAAGAAUGAAUUUGAACAAU
rnacentral:ribozyme from 13 species